GUCGCUGGUGCGCUGUAAUUCCCAUCCAGAAUUGCGCAAUAGACAUGUUUGUCCCUUACAGGACACCGUAGUCAAAAGUUACGUGGGGACGCCAUCUUUUUUCCUGUUUACUUUUCUUUAUUACUUCGUAAGGUUGUGGACGAACAAGUGAGAUGAGCAGCAGAUGUUGUGGACAAAUAAAGUCUUCCCGGUCUCAACCACAAUCA